AUGCUUAAUUUGAAAGAUCAAACAGCAACAAAAAAAAAGACAGAAUAUGGUGAAGAAAUAAAAAUCAUUAUUAAAGAAGUGAAGAAUAAAUUUACGAACACGCAAUACUUUAUACAAGACAUCAAUCCCAUUUUCCCUUAUGGUAGCUCAUUAUAUUUAAUUUUGCUUAAACAGAACCAACCAUAG